rnacentral:rRNA from 1 species
AGUGAACGCUGGCGGUAGGCCUAACACAUGCAAGUCGAACGGCAGCACAGUAAGAGCUUGCUCUUACGGGUGGCGAGUGGCGGACGGGUGAGGAAUACAUCGGAAUCUACUUUUUCGUGGGGGAUAACGUAGGUAAACUUACGCUAAUACCGCAUACGACCUACGGGUGAAAGCAGUGGAUCUUCGGACCUUGCGCGAUUGAAUGAGCCGAUGUCGGAUUAGCUAGUUGGCGGGGUAAAGGCCCACCAAGGCGACGAUCCGUAGCUGGACUGAGAGGAUGAUCGGCCACACUGGAACGGAGACACGGUCCAGACUCCUACGGGAGGCAGCAGUGGGGAAUAUUGGACAAUGGGCGCAAGCAUGAUACAGCCAUACCGCGUGGGUGAAGAAGGCCUUCGGGUUGUAAAGCCCUUUUGUUGGGAAAGAAAAGCAGCAGGUUAAUACCCCGCUGUUCUGACGGUACCCAAAGAAUAAGCACCGGCUAACUUCGUG